rnacentral:lncRNA from 1 species
CUGCCUACUUCGCGGCUAGACCUGCGAUCUAGCAGGCUGCCUGGCAAAUUACUUUGCCACAGCAUACCACCGGCAGCUCCGCGGGAAGCUGCACGGUGGCUCAUACAUCACCGCCAUUGCACGCUCGCUAGGGAUCAUGCCCGAGAGUAAUUCGGAGCUGUCCGCGCCGAUCCCGUCGACUACGUUGGGCCGCGCGUUAGUAUCUAGCACGCAGAUCACCCGUACCUUUGAUGUUGGUCUGAGGUUUAAGGGCCGUGACGGGCUGAUUUGGCAUCCGGAGGUGUUGCCGGAGGUCAUCCCAGUUGUUAUUGAGGUGAGGCCUGGAGUGUUAGCCCCUCCUAAUGUUCAGGAGGUCGCUCGGCAGGCUCAGCUACAGGCUCUGGGCCUCGAUCAGCCUCAGGGCGAGCCUCAGGCUCAGGCUCAGCCUGUAUUCGAGGAUCCGGCUCAGGAGGAGCAUGUCGAGGAGAUCCCGGUACCACCAGUUCAGCCAGCUCCUGAGCCGCCACAGUACCCGCAACACGUUUACGCUGACCUGCCUCCGGUAGCGCGUGAGGUGGCUCGGGACUUCGACCGGCGCCUCAGACGCCAGGGCGCACUCAUUGACUGGAUGGUCGAGACGCUCGUUGCUCUACGAGAGCUCGCUGGGUUGCCUCCACUUCCCCUCCCACCGUCCCCACCGCACGAGGAUUAGUACC